GUAACUUGCAAUCAGUAAUGGGCGACGUAUUUCAGGAGCUCCCUUAGCGCUUUCAGAAGCAGUAUUAUGUUAGAUAGUAUUAUAUCACUUUACAAAUUACAUAGGUAAUUGUAAGAUUAAUUGGAAAAUUGAGUUCUCUUAUCUCUGUUGGAUGGAAAACAUCCCAUUUGCCUCACCAGUCUUUGAUCAGAUUCUCAGAUCAUGAAGUAUGUCUGUGUUUGCAGAGACUAAUAGGACAACAUAAAAUGGACCAGAUUGGAAUAGAUCAGCUACUUCUUCAGAAGAAAAAAAGCCUUGUCACUGGAGUGUGGAACAGAAGAGAGUCAAAGUGAAUUCAGGUUUAGAUGCCCAUUACCCUGGAGACCAGCAAAACCACCACAGAUCUAAGCCUUGAUUCUCCUUCAGUCAAGGACAGAGACUGCGCUCAUCAAUCAAAGUGCUGACUUACAGAAUAAUUCCUUUGGUAGGUACAGUAUUAGGAGCCGUUACACUUGUUCUGUUAAACCAGUGACUUUGGCAGACAGGUUGUUUGCAGGUGCAUCGUGAAGUCACCUUCAAGUCUUACUAUGACAACAAAAUCUUUCUGGAAAGACAGGAUUUUCCACCACUCUGUAGAUUAAACAAAAGUUGAAUUUCCCUGGGAGAAUAUAAAGCAAACAUCUCAAAUCUGUGUCUGUAGAUUAGUAUGUCAGAAUCAUUUACUAGAUUGUUUCUUUAUUUUGUUUUUUGAACAUAGUCUAUUGUUAGUUUCUUGUGUCCUUUAAAUACAGCCGUGUUAAAUUUAUGUUUUGG
rnacentral:lncRNA from 1 species